rnacentral:lncRNA from 1 species
AGAACAGAAACACUUCAACUUAGCAUCGGAAUAUUAACAGAAGUAGUCAAGCAGAGUUUCACACAACAAGACAGAUGAGAAGGGAGAGCGUUUAACUCAAGUCAACAAGUGGAAACAGGUUUCACAUCACAACACAUAACAAAAUAUCUACAGAAACAGAGAGUUUAACCCAAGUUAGAUGAGAAGGAAGAUAGUUUAACACCAGUCAACAAGUGCAAAGAGGUUUCACAUCACAACACACAACAAAAGCUUUUAUAAAACACAUAACAAAAGAAACCGAACUGAGGUUGUUCUUUGUUUACGCAGCUUCUGCGAAGCCAACCUGCUCGUUGCCAAAGUCAAAGACAGUGUGGUAUCUUCCCAUAAACACAUCUCCCAGUAUCCUGGCACAAAAAUCAAGAAUCAAGAUUUCGAUGAAUCUCACACUCAAGAGUGUUAAGAUUUAGAUGAUAUUUGUUUGCAUUUCCAUUUAGAUUUAGAUUUAGAUUUAGAAUUAAGGUAUGUUUUUCUCAACAACCAAAAACAUUUUAAACAAAACUUAUUUGACAGUUGUAAAUGUAAACGCCAAAUGAAUCCAUAAAUCACAUUUGAAACAAUCAAAAGCCUAGAUGAAUCUAAUACUUGAGAAAUAUUAUUUUUUAUGCCAAGAGAAUUUACCAGAGAGGUCCACGAGGUGGAGGCAAGUCGAGCGCAGUAAAGCCACUGAUGCAUUGUGCCACUGGUCCUUCCCCAAUCUUCAGUACGUACUAUUAAUCCCACAAACGAGAUAUCAGCCAAGAUAUGUUCAGAAUGCUACAAAAGGCUCAUCGAGUCUCAAACAUAAAUGUUCUCAAACAAGUACCUCUUCUGGAGAAAGAUCAAAGACUUUGCCUCCAAUGGUGAAUGAAACAGUAGGCAUUUUAGAGAGUUGUGAGCAGUCGACUGCAGACUCUCCAUUAGGACUCGGCAUGCGUUCGCAUAUCUGAGAAUGUUUUGGGAAUUUUAGGACCAGAAUACAGAAGAAUCUCAUUGCUAUAUUUCAGGAACAAAUUGUGAUAGACAUUUGUUCUUCUUACGUCAUUAAUGUUGUUCACUAUACGCUUUUGAGUCAUGUUCUGCAUUAACUGGCUUUGUAUCCACACAACUGCCAUUUCACAUGGAGCACAACCAGCAUCUCGGAGACCGCUAGAUGACUUUGUGUUUUCCUUGUCCACCACUGACUCAAUCCCCAUACUAAACAUAACACAAUAACAGUCAAUAAACACAAGAAGACUGCGAAAACGUGUGUAUAGUAUUGUUAUGUAUAUAGAUAUAGGGAAUUUACCUGACCCCAUGGGUGCCAUCGAAUGUGCAAAGACCUAUCUUUGAGCAGAUAUGCUUUGGUUGAGCCUGAAAGGAAAAAAAAAAGAGUUUUAUAUGCAGAAUCCAGACAUGCGUUCUCGCCGAUUCUCUGAGUUCAUCUUUUACCAAGUUAAUUAUAUUCUUACCUUAGCCAAAAGUAAAUCCAAAAUGGUUUGUCCAUACUGAUCCACAACAGUUUUGCAUUGCUGGCUAACAACUCCAGAUGCUCCGAUAGCUUUAUUUAUCAUGGCAAUCACAGCCUAGCAAAACCAAUAAAAAAAGAUCAAGCAUAUAUUCCACCAAACUAAAUUUCUAUAAAAACCCUCGACGAUUGUUGAUUACUGUUGGCCCUGCAAGUAACGAUGUUCCAGAAUCUGCUAUUGCAGUACAACCAUUUCCACAGUAUCCUGUUACAAAAGAGAAUCAUGUUUCAAUAACUAAUAUGGACGAACGUAACACGAAUACACGAUAUGAUAACUAAUACACGUACCAGUAGAUUUGCCGGCAAUGAGAACCUCACCCAUAUCAAACUAUUACCAAAAUAAUAACUUACAUGAGAUCUGACUAAUAAACAUUCGUGGCAAAUCAAGAAUAAUAACACAAAGAACAAACCUGCCAGUAACCCCUUCGUGAAACAGGAACAUAUGUGUGUUCUCCCUUGAAGUGCUUUGGAUCAACACCGCCAAAUAUAAGUUCACCGCCUUCUUCACUCUUUGUGUCACGGUUAAGCCAAAAUGAGAACACUGGUUUCUUGAUAAGACCUUGCUUGAGCAUAUUGUACCUGUAAAAAAUUUAAAACUGUUGUCACUAAUGGGGGGUGUGUGUAAGUAAGUAACCACAAUCCAAAAUAGUGCACGCAUACCAAACAGGAGUGGCGUUUCCAACAGAUAUCUCUUGGAAUCCAAGACCAAGAAGACCAUCAAACUUAGCCACCAAGAAAGUUAAACCAGGCUCACUGGUUGCCUCAAUAAACUCCUAAACAACAUAGGCAAUAUGCAGAAAGUAAAGUCAAAUCGAUAGAAAAAAUAUGAGCAUUAAAAGAAGUGUAGGACAUAUAAUUCACCUGAUUUUUGACAACUAAGUCACCAACCGUGACAGCAUCAUAACUGAAGAAACCAGAGAUGGAUCCAGAUCCGUAAUGGAUUGCUGCACGUUUUCCUGGAAUAUACAAUUUUAGAGCUUAUCAACAUCAAUUAUUAAUGUAGGGUUAAGUAGCACAAAACGAAAGAAUCAAAAGAGAAAACGUACCACUCUCCUUGUAAGUGCUUGACCGCGAGGACUUGUACUUGGAAUGAAAGAAACAAGACAGCUAGAUAAAGUAAACAACACAAUAAGUUUUCUCUUAAACUAAUCACAUUUAACAAUUGUAAACUAAAUGCUAAAAUAAAAGCUUACCGAGAAAUAACAUUUCCCUGAUGGUACCCAAAGGUUAGAGCUCCCCGUGUCGAAAAUCACUGUGAACUUCUGUGGUGGAGUACCGAUAGCAAUCUCACCAUAGUACUGAGCAUCCAAGUAGUUCUUCAACGCAACGAUGUCAGCAUCUCCAGCAUUCUUGUCGUUUGAACGGAACUCUUUUAAGGAAGAUCGAAAGGCUUUUUCUUGCUUGGAACCAAAGCGUGUGGCAAGUCGAUUGGUAGGAUCCAACUUCAGUUUUUUCAGGCCAACUCUUAAUGUUCCGUCAUUGCUCUCAGAAGAAGCGGAGAAAAACACCAAGAAGGACACAAAGAGUGAAGUAACCGAGUAUGCACCCAUCUUUGACCUAUGAAUUAGUUGACAUCAAUUGAUAGAAAAAAAACAUUAGUUGACAUCAAUAGACAAAAAGACUCAAUUUAAUUAGAUCAACGAGCUAAAAUAAAUUACGAGUUAAAAUGAACAUGCAACUCAACUAUCAACCCUAUUUACAGAAGAAAAAAUAGUUAAUGACAAGUGUGUAGUUUAAACAAGUAAAAAACACACAGGAUUUUGUAAAAUGAAAGAGAACCUUUUUAAUUGAAGGGAUUAUGAUAUGAAAGGGACUUUAGACAUCAAUGAUUUCUUAUAGCUGAUCUCGUCUCCAUUAUAAGAAAAAGAUCCUCAGAAAAUCGUAAAUCAACCACAAAUCAGUAACAAAACUAGACAUUUUAAUUAAUUAAUCAAAGCAAAUAACCUGAGGACAACAAAAUCAAGAAUCUUUCAUUACAAAACAAGAAAAAAGACUGCAUCAGCAAAAAAAAAAAAAAGAAGAAAAAAGUUGUCAAAACGAAGGAGACGACGGAGGAAUCUACGACGGUCAUGCCUAUAAAUUACCUCUUGGAAGCUGCAGCGGCUGUAGGGUCUGAACGGAGCAAAUGUGCUCCGACAUCGGAGACUCCACCGUCAGAGGAGGAGGAAGAAGAAUCAAAUGAUGAAGAGAAAGAACCGGAUAACGGCGAUGAAGAUGGCGAUGUGCAUGCGGGGGUGAAUGAUGAAGAGAAAUAAGAGGGUUCCGAUAAAGAAACUGAAGGGGACGCGACUGGUUCUGAUGAAGAAGAAAAUGAUGGUGAGGCGGAUGGCUCUGAUGAGGGAGACGACGAAGAGGAGCCUGAAAGCGAGGAUGUUGCCUCGGAUGAGGAGAAUGAAGUUGAGACUAAUGCCUCUGUGGAAACAUUCCUGGAAAUAGCGAGGCAGAUUUAGUAGAUGAGGAUGGAAAUAAGGGUUUAGAAGAUGGAAACAAGGAUGGAAACAUCGAGGAGGAAUCAGUAGAUGUCGAAGAAGAGAAAGGGCAGGAAGAGGUAAGAAUUUAGGAUAGGAUUAAGGUUUCCUUAGUAAUUUGGUUUGAAUGUUAAUGUUUCGGUGAAGGAAAACUAGGAUUUAUGGGUAUAAUUGGUCGUAAUACUAGAACAACUAGGUGAAACAAUGUGAAAUGGUAAAAUUAGUAAUAACUAAGUAUACUAGGAAUACUUGAAUAACUUAGUAAAACUAUUUUGGAAAAACUUGUAUAACUAUGUACAACUAAAUGUUACUUGCAGGAAAUCGAGGCUACUGAGGCAAUCAAGACAAGUACGAUUUUCUUCUAUGAAUCGGAGUACAAGAAACAGAUAAAGUUAGGUACAAGGUGUAUGAUAGUUGACGUUAUCGAGAUGCUUUUGUCUCUGGAUUCGCCGGCAAGUGAUGCGGAGAGGAGGUGGUUUGAGGAGCAUCCACAAUUCUGUCACUUGUUCCACAAGAAACUGGAUGCAGAUGCACAAGAAAAUUUUAAGAAGAACAAGAAGAGGAGCUCGAACCACAAGUUUCAUGGAAUGUGGAUGUUGUUACUGCGUACUGUCGAUGUCUCGAAGAGGAGAGAAGUGUGGUUCAUUGUCAAUGGUGUUCCCAUCCGUUAUGGGCUGAGGGAACACACAUUGAUACCAGGCCUAAACUGCCGCAACUAUCCUCUCGGUUACAAGGAGUUUGGUAAUAAGAAGUUUGUGAAGCGUCAUUUCAAGGGGGGAGAAUUAAUAAGGUUGGAGGAUGUGAAAGCAAAGCUGUUGGGAAUGAGAGCUCAUAAAGACAGGCUGAAGAUGAUGGUUCUCUUCUUUUUAGGAAGUGUUGUUUGCGCGCAAACGAAAGUUGGUGAAGGAGCCCAUGAUGUAUUGGAUUUUUUUCAAAGAGCGGUGGAUGAUCUUGGAUACUGCAAGACGUUUCCAUGGGGGAAGUACUCCUUUGAUUAUAUGGUUAAGGAGAUCUCUCACACAAUGGAUCAUUUUGGAGAAUUUGUGAAAGAGAAGACGUUAUGGCCACUUCAAGGUUUCUGUCUUCCACUAGAGGUAAGUAAAUAGAAGUUUAGAACAUUAUCAAUUUUUUUAUUAUUGUUUUGUUAAGUUUUAUAAAAUGUUGGAUUUGUAGCUUCUUGCUUUCGAGGCAAUUCCUCAACUGGGAAAGAGGUUUAGACAACCGGUUGAAGGAGCUGAUCCAGAGUGUCUGAGGAUGUGCCAGUCCACGUUCAAAAAGACAGAAAUGAAAGGGUUUCCUCUUGCAAGUGUUAAUCAAGAACUAGAUAGGGUAAAGGUAAGUGUUUCCUUCUUCGCCCUGCAAAUUUUAUUUGUAAUUGCCAUAUUAGGUAGGUAAAACAUGGGAAAAUUUGGUAAAACUGUAUGCGUAAAACAAUAAAAAACCUAAGAAAACUAUAUAGAACUGCGAUACUUUGGUAAAAAUGUAUGCGUAAAACAAUGGAAACUUAAGAAAACUAUAUAGAACUAGGAUGCUUUAGUAAACUUUUUUCUUUUUGUUGUUAGCCGCAUGAUAUUGACAGCAUCCUUCCUACCAGGAAUGAAGAAGAAAAAGUUCUUUUGGAUGCUCUCACGGAAGAGGAUGACGAUGCUGAUGAGCCUGGUAUUGCUAUGGACAGCUGGGUUAAGCGUAUUAACGAAAGAUAUUCUAUCUUUUUUGAAGACAUGUAUGAAGAUGACAUCGAAGCUCGAAAAGAAAAUGCAGAACAUGCAGUCCUUAAAGACAUUGCGCUAGUGGAAGAAGUGGCAGAACAGAAGAAGAUGUUGGAGGAUUUGAUCAAGAAAGUGGAAAGUCUUGGAAAUCAGCUAGAGAGCGUGUUGAAGACACUGGACAAGUUUGAGGAAAGAUUGGGCCCGCUUGAGUCGUUUGGGAAGGAAGCGCAUAAGGGAUUGAAAAAGGGAUCGAAGAAGAAGGGAUCGAAGAAGAAGUGACGUAGUUGGUGUUUCAUCUCGGAUUAUGUAUUUUAAGAACAUGAAUGUUGUUGGUUGCAAAAACUCUAUUCUAGGAACCUUAAUGCUGUUGCUUGCAAAACCCUGUUUUGGAACCUUAAUGUUGCUUAUCUAUUUCCAUUUUAUGUUUCUGUUUUAGAGUAGGAAAUUAACAACAAUGCACAAGUCUUGAACAAGAAACAACUUACGAACAGCUCAAGAGUAAGAGUAAGAGGAAGAUCACAGAUUAAAGAUAAGGAAUUAUGGAGUUUUACAAGUCUUACACAAGGAACAACCACAAAAUAAAGAAGACUUGUAAGAUCAGCCGAAAUAACAAACAAUAAAUUGUUCCCAACAACAAACUGGAUCCGAAUCAGACAUGAACAACAACAUUACUAACGACAUUACUUUAAGAUUCGAACACGCUUGAGCUGAUCCUUGAGCUCAGCGAUCUCUGCAGCCAUUUCAUCAACACGUGUUAGUAAGCCCUUAACCUUAUCAUGGAUCGCGAAGACCCAAGGUUGACGAAAGUGGAGUCCAUCAUCCUGCAAAUAGAACCCGAUUCAUACAUAAGAAAAUUAACACAAUCAUCACAUGAUUCAAAUCAAAACUCUAAUAUAUGAAAAAUACCUCAAAGUUGUCGCAGAUGAAGUAUUUCCUUCCCCGCAGAGUAUCUUGAUGAAUGUCUUGAUGAUACAAUCCAACAUUGGUAUUAAUGCCCACCUCCUUGCCUCUCAAAACACGAUGUUCAUUGAUUCCACACUGUUGCUUGUGUCCAAGUUGUACCUGUCACGUGGAAAAAAAACUCUUGCCCAUUUGUCUUUUUCAGUUUUCUCCUCCACAUACUUCCAAGCCGAAGGAUUUCUUCUUUUAAACGAUUCGUAGGCAGAGUCCAAGUCAGCCAUGGUGUAAUAUCUUCCCAAUUCCAUGAAUCUAUGCCCGACUACAUCUUUGUUGACAUUACAAGCAUGCCCUUUCACAUUUUCUUUAAAAUGCCAUAAACAAUGGUCAUUGUGAGCCUGUGGAUACACGUUUGCUGCUGCAAAGAUUAGGCUUUGAUUUCUACCAGUCAUGAAAACCAGUUCAGAAGAGUCUGAUAUAGCUAUCUUAAGCAUCUCGAAAAACCAAGUCCAGCUAGCAUGAUUCUCUCCAUCUAGUACUACCAACGCUAGUGGAUAAUGGUGACGAUUUGGAUCUUGAGCUUUGGCAAAAACUAGAACACUUCCAUAUCCGUUCUUCAGCAAUAACGCAUCCACAACUAUCACUUUCCUCAUGACUGCAAAACCCUCAAUGCAAGCUCCCAAGGCUAUGAAGAGGUAUUUGAAUUUACCUACCUCAUUCAAUUUCACAUCGGUUGUUGUUCCCGGAUUCACUUGCUUUAACAUGUACAAAUAGCUAUACAUCAUCUUGUAGCUUAUCUUCCGGAUUACCAUGUUGAUCACAAACCGCCAGAUUCUUUCCGCGCAACGCUGUCGAGUAUGAUAUCAUUACCCCAAGUUUGAACUUAACAAGACCCUUAAUAACCUUCGGACUUGGGGACUUGGAGUUUCCAAACCUCUCGGGAAUUCCCCAUUCAAAAAGGCUGACACUAGUUCUGCUGACCCUUUUCGCUUAUCGUUGCUGUCACUUUGACUAGUCUGAGAGCAUGUAUGCUUAUUCCUGUAGCUCCUAAUCGAAAAAAUGUAUGUCCUGAGGAAUCUUUGCAGCUCGUAAUCCCCAUUUACAGCUAGCUUGCGAACAUCCAAUCACCAAUCGUCUACGAUCAGACUUUUUGGUGAAAUAAUGAUAGCAUUCACUAAAAGCAGCUCUAUCGACGAUCUCCUGAAUUACGCUCUUACAUGGAAAUUCGUCAUGCUUACACAGACUCAAACCAUCACCCCAUUCCUUUAUAUACUUAGUCGAUUUUAUGGCUGGUGGUUGUUCAACAAACUUAUCAGCGGUUGGAACAGCGGUAUCUGUCUCUGCAGUAGUGUUAGUGUCUGCAGUGUUAUCAGCCUCCAUAACAGUAUCCGUCUCCAUAGUGGCAUCCGUCUCCCCAGUGGCAUCCGUCUCCACAGUGGCAUCAUCAUUAUUCCCACCCUCUAUCGCCUCGUUAUUUCCCUGCUUGUAUUCUACGUACAAAGUUAUGGCUUUAGCUCCAAUUUCAUCCUCCAAUGCCUGCAACUCUUACCCACGAGAGUUUAUCUACAGGUCCCGGUUCCACUAUUGGUUUCAUUGUUUCUAAUAUUUGUCCCGAUCUUCCACUACUCUUCACAACCAAAAGACUUCUUCGGUUGUCUUUAUCCAUGCCGGUUAGGUAAACAAAAAGAUCUUCAUCAUCAACAAUAUUUAAAGGUGUCUCACAUCCUACCACCAGCGGCAUGUAGCUCAAUUCCAGUUAUUCCUUGCUUUCAACCAACCCAAGCUUCUUAUACAUCCUCUCUUCUAUCAUUGACAAAGUCGUACCCCCCACUGAUGUCUUCAGGGUUAUACUAAACAUCCGGUCUUUGAAUUUAAAAUGUACGCUGACAUGAUUGCUCAUUGUAUCCUGCCAAAAGAAAUGAACAAACUCAACAAACUGACUAGAGUUAUCUACAGUUCUACCAGUUGUUCCGAGUUAUUCCAAGUUAACUAUAGUUCUACCACUUGUUCAGAGUUUUCCCAAGUUAUCCACAGUUCAAUCAACAAAAAAUUGAAUUACGUAUCGGGUGUGAACCGAUCUAGACCCUUGCCAAUACACUCCCAUUCAACCACUGAAAUGCAUUUUGUACCACUUUACUAUACUGAUUCAACCACUGAAAUGCAUUUUGUACCACUUUACUAUACUGAUUGACCCAGACACGAAACAAUGCCAUUGUGCAUUACUCCUAAAUCGAAUCACAAUUCAAUUACGAUGAAAGCCCGAGGCGGAGACCACAACUUACCGGCUUCGACGGAACGCUAGACGUCCUAAUUUGCUUUCCCAUAUUUUUGGAUACCCUAAUUUGCAACUCUUGAAUCCUUGUCCCCAGAUCGCAAAUCUCAUCCAAAUAUUGACACACCAUAAAACCCCAAACAUAAUCCCUAACUUUCUUCGCUUUGAUUCAGUAUUGUAUCGACAAAUAAUAUAGAUUGUUUUUUAGGCUUUAAUUAUUUAGUUGAAAGAGAUAACAAAAACGGCAAUAUAUAGUUUGUUGGAAUAAAAAGAUUUUGUGGAAAAUAAAGAUAAUUAAAAGUAUAGGUUUUAAUUAAAGCAAUGGCAUGGCUCCGUAAAUAUUAUUAAAACAAAAAGGCACUUAAAAAAAGAGUCAUCUGUUUUAAAAGUAUUGAUGUAUAGAUAUAGUACUUUACUUAUUGGGUAGAUGACCUUAAGAGUUAGAUAUAUGAUGUCUUUUGCAGAAGGAAAAGUAUCUCCAAAGCUUUAACAUGUCUUCCUUUUUUAAUGGCAAACACCAAAGCUAUACACAUCUUAUUAACUUAUAAGAUAAAAAAAAGUAGAGCAUAAAUCAAAUUCUUAAACAGCUUUGAUCAUAACUAGCUUCAGGAUUAAAAGUAGAUAAAACAACUUAUCACCGGAUGAAGAACAGAAACACUUAACUUAGCAUCGGAAUAUUUACAGAAGCAGAGAUUUUAACACAAGGCAGAUGAGAAGGGAGAGAGUUUAACUCAAGUCAACAAGUGCAAAUAGGUUUCACAUCACAACACACAACAAAAUAUUUACAGAAACAGAGUUUAACACAAGUCAGAUGAGAAGGGAGAUAGUUUAACACAAGUCGGCAAGUGCAAAGAGGUUUCACAUCACAACACACAACAAAAGCUUUCAUACAAACACAUAACAAAAGAAACCGAACCGAGUUUGUUAUUUGUUUACGCAGCUUCUGCGAAGCCAACCUGCUCGUUUCCAAAGUGAAAGA